rnacentral:rRNA from 1 species
UAAGCGACUAAGCGUACACGGUGGAUGCCCUGGCAGUCAGAGGCGAUGAAGGACGUGCUAAUCUGCGAUAAGCGUCGGUAAGGUGAUAUGAACCGUUAUAACCGGCGAUUUCCGAAUGGGGAAACCCAGUGUGUUUCGACACACUAUCAUUAACUGAAUCCAUAGGUUAAUGAGGCGAACCGGGGGAACUGAAACAUCUAAGUACCCCGAGGAAAAGAAAUCAACCGAGAUUCCCCAGUAGCGGCGAGCGAACGGGGAGCAGCCCAGAGCCUGAAUCAGUGUGUGUGUUAGUGGAAGCGUCUGGAAAGGCGCGCGAUACAGGGUGACAGCCCCGUACACAAAAAUGCACAUGCUGUGAGCUCGAUGAGUAGGGCGGGACACGUGGUAUCCUGUCUGAAUAUGGGGGGACCAUCCUCCAAGGCUAAAUACUCCUGACUGACCGAUAGUGAACCUGUACCGUGAGGGAAAGGCGAAAAGAACCCCGGCGAGGGGAGUGAAAAAGAACCUGAAACCGUGUACGUACAAGCAGUGGGAGCACGCUUCGGCGUGUGACUGCGUACCUUUUGUAUAAUGGGUCAGCGACUUAUAUUCUGUAGCAAGGUUAACCGAAUAGGGGAGCCGAAGGGAAACCGAGUCUUAACUGGGCGUUAAGUUGCAGGGUAUAGACCCGAACCCCGGUGAUCUAGCCAUGGGCAGGUUGAAGGUUGGGUAACACUAACUGGAGGACCGAACCGACUAAUGUUAGAAAAAUUAGCGGAUGACUUGUGGCUGGGGGUGAAAGGCCAAUCAAACCGGGAGAUAGCUGGUUCUCCCCGAAAGCUAUUUAGGUAGCGCCUCGUGAAUUCAUCUCCGGGGGUAGAGCACUGUUUCGGCAAGGGGGUCAUCCCGACUUACUAACCCGAUGCAAACUGCGAAUACCGGAGAAUGUUAUCACGGGAGACACACGGCGGGUGCUAACGUCCGUCGUGAAGAGGGAAACAACCCAGACCGCCAGCUAAGGUCCCAAAGUCAUGGUUAAGUGGGAAACGAUGUGGGAAGGCCCAGACAGCCAGGAUGUUGGCUUAGAAGCAGCCAUCAUUUAAAGAAAGCGUAAUAGCUCACUGGUCGAGUCGGCCUGCGCGGAAGAUGUAACGGGGCUAAACCAUGCACCGAAGCUGCGGCAGCGACGCUUAUGCGUUGUUGGGUAGGGGAGCGUUCUGUAAGCCUGUGAAGGUGUGCUGUGAGGCAUGCUGGAGGUAUCAGAAGUGCGAAUGCUGACAUAAGUAACGAUAAAGCGGGUGAAAAGCCCGCUCGCCGGAAGACCAAGGGUUCCUGUCCAACGUUAAUCGGGGCAGGGUGAGUCGACCCCUAAGGCGAGGCCGAAAGGCGUAGUCGAUGGGAAACAGGUUAAUAUUCCUGUACUUGGUGUUACUGCGAAGGGGGGACGGAGAAGGCUAUGUUGGCCGGGCGACGGUUGUCCCGGUUUAAGCGUGUAGGCUGGUUUUCCAGGCAAAUCCGGAAAAUCAAGGCUGAGGCGUGAUGACGAGGCACUACGGUGCUGAAGCAACAAAUGCCCUGCUUCCAGGAAAAGCCUCUAAGCAUCAGGUAACAUCAAAUCGUACCCCAAACCGACACAGGUGGUCAGGUAGAGAAUACCAAGGCGCUUGAGAGAACUCGGGUGAAGGAACUAGGCAAAAUGGUGCCGUAACUUCGGGAGAAGGCACGCUGAUAUGUAGGUGAGGUCCCUCGCGGAUGGAGCUGAAAUCAGUCGAAGAUACCAGCUGGCUGCAACUGUUUAUUAAAAACACAGCACUGUGCAAACACGAAAGUGGACGUAUACGGUGUGACGCCUGCCCGGUGCCGGAAGGUUAAUUGAUGGGGUUAGCGGUAACGCGAAGCUCUUGAUCGAAGCCCCGGUAAACGGCGGCCGUAACUAUAACGGUCCUAAGGUAGCGAAAUUCCUUGUCGGGUAAGUUCCGACCUGCACGAAUGGCGUAAUGAUGGCCAGGCUGUCUCCACCCGAGACUCAGUGAAAUUGAACUCGCUGUGAAGAUGCAGUGUACCCGCGGCAAGACGGAAAGACCCCGUGAACCUUUACUAUAGCUUGACACUGAACAUUGAGCCUUGAUGUGUAGGAUAGGUGGGAGGCUUUGAAGUGUGGACGCCAGUCUGCAUGGAGCCGACCUUGAAAUACCACCCUUUAAUGUUUGAUGUUCUAACGUUGACCCGUAAUCCGGGUUGCGGACAGUGUCUGGUGGGUAGUUUGACUGGGGCGGUCUCCUCCUAAAGAGUAACGGAGGAGCACGAAGGUUGGCUAAUCCUGGUCGGACAUCAGGAGGUUAGUGCAAUGGCAUAAGCCAGCUUGACUGCGAGCGUGACGGCGCGAGCAGGUGCGAAAGCAGGUCAUAGUGAUCCGGUGGUUCUGAAUGGAAGGGCCAUCGCUCAACGGAUAAAAGGUACUCCGGGGAUAACAGGCUGAUACCGCCCAAGAGUUCAUAUCGACGGCGGUGUUUGGCACCUCGAUGUCGGCUCAUCACAUCCUGGGGCUGAAGUAGGUCCCAAGGGUAUGGCUGUUCGCCAUUUAAAGUGGUACGCGAGCUGGGUUUAGAACGUCGUGAGACAGUUCGGUCCCUAUCUGCCGUGGGCGCUGGAGAACUGAGGGGGGCUGCUCCUAGUACGAGAGGACCGGAGUGGACGCAUCACUGGUGUUCGGGUUGUCAUGCCAAUGGCACUGCCCGGUAGCUAAAUGCGGAAGAGAUAAGUGCUGAAAGCAUCUAAGCACGAAACUUGCCCCGAGAUAAGUUCUCCCUGACUCCUUGAGAGUCCUGAAGGAACGUUGAAGACGACGACGUUGAUAGGCCGGGUGUGUAAGCGCAGCGAUGCGUUGAGCUAACCGGUACUAAUGAACCGUGAGGCUUAACCU